AUGGCAGAAUGGGAUGGGGGGAAAUGGUCUAUUAUCAAGAUACCAAGAUUCUCAUCCUGGUUCCAGAACUUAGAAGCCUCCAACACAUACCGUGCCGGGGACACCUCAAUUCCUCUCAAAAUGGGAAUCGUUACGAUAGGGGCCAGGGGCACAAGGUGGGGAAGAGACAAACUCCCCAGGGGAAAAGAAGCUGAGCUUGGAACUCUGUGGAAGCACGGAUUGUUCAGCCUCCCACCCGGUCUCUUCAGUACGUGUCCGCAGAGAGCAUGCUACCAAACCGUGGGCGCCUUGGAAGGUCUAAUGCUCCGGCACGGAGGUCUGUUCUCCUGGCCGCAGCUCAAGUCAAUGCCAGGCGGAAUGAACAACGGAAGGGGGGAAAAUGGUCGCGUGUCAUCAACGGAAUCAACCGUAUUUACUACAAAGCAACUCUAGACACAGCACGGAAAGCUCAAGAUUCUUCCAAAGUUAGACAANACCCAGGGAUCCCCGGACUUGAAUUCUUAAAGUAAGCUCCUGAUAAAAUUUUAACUUUUGGUUUGUGACACUGGCUUAAUUAAUAGGCAAAAUGGUGUCUCAUUGUUAUUUGUUUUGUGAAUUGCCUAUUUGUGUGUUCUGCUCAUUAUUCCUCCGAAGUCCUGGUUUCUUUCCUAUUACAAUGUAAUAGUCUUCAUAUAUUCAGACUUGCGACCUUUUCUUUGCAACAUCUGUCAUAAAUAUUUUCUUCUGGUCUUUUGGUUUGUGACACUGGCUUAAUUAAUAGGCAAAAUGGUGUCUCAUUGUUAUUUGUUUUGUGAAUUGCCUAUUUGUGUGUUCUGCUCAUUAUUCCUCCGAAGUCCUGGUUUCUUUCCUAUUACAAUGUAAUAGUCUUCAUAUAUUCAGACUUGCGACCUUUUCUUUGCAACAUCUGUCAUAAAUAUUUUCUUCUGGUUUGACAUGUAUCUUUUAGUUCUGUUUAUGAUUUUUCUGUCUUUGAAAUGUUUUGAGUUUCAAGGUACAAAUAAAUAAAUAAAGGUCUUUU
rnacentral:lncRNA from 1 species